GCAGAAUGUUUAUACUUAAUAGAACUCUUGGCAUUCUGGAAUAUAAAUUGAGAAGGAAAAGCAAUUUAUUGAUGCCCAGUUGUGAUGAAUAAUAUUUGGAUUUUAAAAGGCAUGAAACGAAAGCAAUAAGGGAAGAUGACUUCAUCGCCAUAAAAUGAUUUUGUAGGCAUCUUCAGAUUGCUUACUGGGAACCAUAGUUGUCAAAUUAAAAUUCAAAUUGAGAAUUGAAAUCUUCAUUUUGUAAAUCGAGAAUCGAAUCGAAUCGUAAGAUUCGAUAA
rnacentral:misc_RNA from 1 species